rnacentral:rRNA from 1 species
UACGGAGGAUGCAAGCGUUAUCCGGAAUGAUUGGGCGUAAAGCGUCCGCAGGUGGCUAUGUAAGUCUGCUGUUAAAGAGUGAGGCUCAACCUCAUAAGAGCAGUGGAAACUACAUGUCUAGAGUGCGUUCGGGGCAGAGGGAAUUCCUGGUGUAGCGGUGAAAUGCGUAGAGAUCAGGAAGAACACCGGUGGCGAAAGCGCUCUGCUAGGCCGCAACUGACACUCAUGGACGAAAGCUAGGGGAGCGAAUGGG